rnacentral:rRNA from 1 species
GAUGAACGCUGGCGGCGUGCCUAAUACAUGCAAGUCGAGCGAACGGACGAGAAGCUUGCUUCUCUGAUGUUAGCGGCGGACGGGUGAGUAACACGUGGAUAACCUACCUAUAAGACUGGGAUAACUUCGGGAAACCGGAGCUAAUACCGGAUAAUAUUUUGAACCGCAUGGUUCAAAAGUAAAAGACGGUCUUGCUGUCACUUAUAGAUGGAUCCGCGCUGCAUUAGCUAGUUGGUAAGGUAACGGCUUACCAAGGCAACGAUGCAUAGCCGACCUGAGAGGGUGAUCGGCCACACUGGAACUGAGACACGGUCCAGACUCCUACGGGAGGCAGCAGUAGGGAAUCUUCCGCAAUGGGCGAAAGCCUGACGGAGCAACGCCGCGUGAGUGAUGAAGGUCUUCGGAUCGUAAAACUCUGUUAUUAGGGAAGAACAUAUGUGUAAGUAACUGUGCACAUCUUGACGGUACCUAAUCAGAAAGCCACGGCUAACUACGUGCCAGCAGCCGCGGUAAUACGUAGGUGGCAAGCGUUAUCCGGAAUUAUUGGGCGUAAAGCGCGCGUAGGCGGUUUUUUAAGUCUGAUGUGAAAGCCCGCGGCUCAACCGUGGAGGGUCAUUGGAAACUGGAAAACUUGAGUGCAGAAGAGGAAAGUGGAAUUCCAUGUGUAGCGGUGAAAUGCGCAGAGAUAUGGAGGAACACCAGUGGCGAAGGCGACUUUCUGGUCUGUAACUGACGCUGAUGUGCGAAAGCGUGGGGAUCAAACAGGAUUAGAUACCCUGGUAGUCCACGCCGUAAACGAUGAGUGCUAAGUGUUAGGGGGUUUCCGCCCCUUAGUGCUGCAGCUAACGCAUUAAGCACUCCGCCUGGGGAGUACGACCGCAAGGUUGAAACUCAAAGGAAUUGACGGGGACCCGCACAAGCGGUGGAGCAUGUGGUUUAAUUCGAAGCAACGCGAAGAACCUUACCAAAUCUUGACAUCCUUUGACAACUCUAGAGAUAGAGCCUUCCCCUUCGGGGGACAAAGUGACAGGUGGUGCAUGGUUGUCGUCAGCUCGUGUCGUGAGAUGUUGGGUUAAGUCCCGCAACGAGCGCAACCCUUAAGCUUAGUUGCCAUCAUUAAGUUGGGCACUCUAAGUUGACUGCCGGUGACAAACCGGAGGAAGGUGGGGAUGACGUCAAAUCAUCAUGCCCCUUAUGAUUUGGGCUACACACGUGCUACAAUGGACAAUACAAAGGGCAGCGAAACCGCGAGGUCAAGCAAAUCCCAUAAAGUUGUUCUCAGUUCGGAUUGUAGUCUGCAACUCGACUACAUGAAGCUGGAAUCGCUAGUAAUCGUAGAUCAGCAUGCUACGGUGAAUACGUUCCCGGGUCU